GGCCUCAUAGCUCAGGGGACAGAGCACCGCUCUCCUAAAGCGGGUGUCGCAGGUUCGAAUCCUGCUGGGGCCACCG
rnacentral:tRNA from 1 species